rnacentral:rRNA from 1 species
UACGGAGGAUCCGAGCGUUAUCCGGAUUUAUUGGGUUUAAAGGGUGCGUAGGCGGUUUGAUAAGUUAGAGGUGAAAUGUCGGGGCUCAACCCCGAAACUGCCUCUAAUACUGUUGGACUAGAGAAUAGUUGCGGUAGGCGGAAUGUAUGGUGUAGCGGUGAAAUGCUUAGAGAUCAUACAGAACACCGAUUGCGAAGGCAGCUUACCAAACUAUAUCUGAUGUUGAGGCACGAAAGCGUGGGUAGCAAACAGG